AACCGCAUCCUUUCUCUAUUCAACGCGUGUUAUAGUAAAAAUACAUUUGGUUUCCGUUACAACAAAGAUUACAAUGUGCGUAGUGUCAUUGUGCCAGUCGACAGUGGAAAAAGAUGUCGAUUCCACUACGCAUCUGUUCGGCUUGUAACCUCAUUUUGGCCCUCAUCGUUCUAUUCGUACAGUCUAUGAUUCUCAGUAACUACAAAAACCUUCAAGUUAAAACCUACUCUCAAUACACCGCGGUGGGAAUAUGGACUGCUUUACUGCUGGCAUGUAACGGGACCAGCAUGUUACUCUGCUUGAAGCGCAAGUUUUUGUGCAAACCCCAACAAAUAAUAGGUACAUGGCUGGUAUUUUUCUCUGCAUCGCAACGCUCUUGGCCGGAAUUUUUACCAUCGGGAUUGCGGCUGGAACUUUCUACGGGCUCUUAUCGGAAUCUCCGGCACCUCAAACGGCCUUCGGAUGGUCUCAACUAGGUUAUUCUUUUUGUAUAUCUUCUAAAACAGAUGAAUUCAAGUCGUUGAAGGUAUUGGAGGGCACCCUAUUCGGAUGUGGUCUUGCAUCGAUUUUCGUCAAUUCCCUAUCUAUAAUGUUUCUACAUUUGGAAAAGCUCGUGUCGUACGAAGAAACUGUUUCGUCCGAUUUGCUUUCAAAUCGAAAUUUCAACAGAUAUUGACAAA